AUUUGGCCCCGCGGCCCCGUUUUCAAAGCGCAGGUUCCGAUUUCCCGAGAGAUGGCAAAGGCCCUGGCAGGAAGUUUACAGGGUUUAACGUAAACAAGUUCUGGGGGAUUCUUUAAUAAUAAUAAUAGAGAAUUCCGCGUGCGCAGGGCGGGAGGGGGGAGUUGGCCUAAUGCCCCUGUGGGCUCGGCCUGCCGCCGCCGCGGGGCCUCUGACACUGCGCGCCAGGCCAGGUUCCUGAGAGCAGACAGCGCGGGCUGGGAGCGCCGGCAAGGGCGGCCCUCGCGCACCUGGCUGCCAGCCCGCAGGGGGCUCGCACGCAGACCUGCCCUUGCCACCUCAGCGCUCGGGUGCGGGCUGGGGGCGGUGGAGCCACGAAAGGUGGUGCCGAGAGCGGAGCGCAGGACAGCGCAGGAGCCCCGGCGCAUCGCGGCGCGCACAGACCCAGGAUUUGUGAAGAGGUGACCCAAAUUUCAAGACAAUGUUGGAUGCAAACGGAUUUGCCAGCAACUGCAUCACUGUCAAAACCAGCUCUGCCCGUGUCUUCCGAAGAUACCAAGUGAAAUACAUGUAGAUGGGAUUUACAUCUGAAAAACCAAGGCAAGAGGCCAUGGGAAGGGACGGAGGUGGAACAGGACUGGACAGAAGCUGAUAAAUGGUUGUUGCUGAGUACUGGGCAGAUAGGGGUUGGUUAUCCUAUUGUCUUUACUUUCAUAUAUUUUAUUUUUUCUGUAAUAAAACAAAUUAAAAUCACCUGUCGUGACCUCACAGGGGCCAGUGUGGGUUGUGGCGUGAGGCAGGAAGCUCUGCAGAGUUCCUUGGUCAAAAGGAUUAAUUACAAAAGAACUCCAUGAACACCGAGAAGAAGAGAAGGGAAUCCUGGCAUUUAAAGCCACAAAGAAACUUGAUAUGGUCUUGUCUCCUUCUCUCAAUUGACAGUGAGAAACUGAAGACCAGAGAGGGUGAGUGGUUUACUCAGUUUGGCACAACUGACCCCAACCUAGCCCUCCAUGAGGACUGAGCGCAUGAGAGAUCCUGAGCCACAGCCGCCCAGCCCUGCUCCUCUCGAAUUUCUGACCUACAGGAACUGCAAGAAGUAAUGAAAGACUGCUGUUUAAAGCCACUGCAUUUUGGCAUGAUUUGUUAUGCAGUCGUAGAUAACCAGAAAACAUCGGAUUUACAUUUUAAGGUAAACUUUUUAUUGAAACAUCACAUACACACAGAGACGUCCACCAAUUGGCUCGAUGAGCUUUCUCAAAGGAAACACAUUCUCUGAGCAGUGUGCACAUCCAGACACAUCAUCUCCAUCCUCCAGAAGCCCCCUCCUGUUAUCGCCACUCACAGGUCACCCGUCUCCUGACUUGCAGCCACAGAGAUAGUCCUGCCUAAUUCUGAACGUGGUACAAACGGAAUCAUACAGAAUGGGCUUGGCUUCUUUCACUCUGGGCUGUGUUUAUGAGCAUCACCCAGAUUGCUGCAUGGAAGCCAUCGUUUGUUCAUUUUCACCACCAUAGAGUAUUCUACUGUUGAUGGGACAUAGGCUAUUUAUUCCUUCUACUGUUGAGGGACGCAUAGUUAUUUCCAGCUGGAGACUGGUAUAUGUCUCUUGGCUACCUUCUGCAUGCAUUUCUGUUGGAGGUUGUUUCAGGUAUCUCUUAACGUAUAACAGACCACCCUCAAAUUGAGUCCUUGAAACAAUUACCAUUUUCUUCUUUCUCAGGAUUUGGUGCAUGGGAUGGGCUCAGUUGGGCAGUUCUUCUGUUCCAUGUGAUGGUACUGGGGCUGCAGUCAUUCAGAGGCUCAACUGGGCUGAACGUGCAAGGUUUCUUGCUCACGUGGCCAUCAGUGGUGCUGGCUGCUGUUGGGAGCUCCACUGGACUUCUGUCCAGAGCUCCUCAGCUCACCUCUCUGUAUCCUUGCCCUGUGGCUCAGGCUUCUAACAAUACAGAGGCUGGAUUCCAAGAGGAGGGAAUUAGAAGCGUUCAGCCUUCUUAAGACCAGGAUUCAGAUGUCCCAGACUGUCACUGUAUUGACCGGAGCAUUUACAGGCCAGCCUAGUAAUUUUUCCAUCUUGGGCAGGAAUGGGUGGCAUAUGCUGGGGGUAGGGGUAGCAUUGUUGGGGAUCAUCUUUGGAGCUGUGUGCCAAGGAGUAAAUUGCUGGGCUGCUUUCUACCUGAGGAAGUCCACUAUGCUUGCUUGUGGAGAGUGGAUUGUGUGCUCAGAGUCCACAAGGAUUUAAGAAUCCGAGCCCUGCUGCCCUUGCCUCAGCCUGUGCAUUAGGGCCCGGUGGUGAGAGCACUGAGCCAUUGUGAAUCAAGGCCCCUCCCUCGACCUGCAUACUAACAGGCCAGAAGAGCUUGCUUGAUUUUGGUCCUAGGCUCCUGCCUGUGGGUUGGAUUCCAGGGGCACUCUCUCCUCCACAAACCAGACGGUGGCAGGUACAUCCCCUCAAUGGAAAUUGCCCACACUUCACCCUAAAGACAGAUCCUGCUGUUCAGCAACAAUGUGAGUGGCCCACACAUUUGUCCAGCAUGAAACCGUUUGCAGAUUCCUUUCCAGUACACAGUCCCGUCAGCCGGUCACUUCACGAUGACAGCUCCUCGAAGCACCUUUUGGUUUGCAGUUGUGUAGCUUAGAAGUAGGAGCCUGCACGGCUUCAGGAAUUCACAGAAGGAGCACACUUUGUGCUUGGAGAAGUUAAUUAUAGGAAUAUCCUGCAACCUGCUGCUCUGAGCCUGUGCACCUGGGGUGUUUCCCUGGAGGUCCUGUGUAUGAGGAUACUCAUCAGCAUGGGGUUUGGGAAGCCUAGCAGUGGAGACAACCUAGGUGGUCCUCUCCAGGGGAGUAGGUAAGAGCCCUACAGCAGUGAAAAGCAUUGAAGGAAAAGUGUGUUCAGCAGUGCUCUUAAUCUGAUCAGAGCAGCCUGAACACAUUCUAAACACAGGGCAUUUAGAACUAGGGUAGAGGCACUAGAGCACCAUAGAUACAAACUCAGAUUCUGAAGGUAAAUGCCCAGGUUCAAAUCCAAGCCCCCUCGCCAAGUGACCAUGACUCCCCCGAGUCACCUGACCUCUGUGUUUACAUCCUCAAAGUUAAGUAGUCAGGAAAGGGGGCUUGGGGCUUGCCACAUGGAUGGUUGCCACUCUCCUUUGCAAAGUGUAGUCCCCAAAAACAGGUGGAAGAGGGAAGGGUCCAAUUAGAAGGCCGAGUACCAGCUGCCAUGAAUAUGCCAGAGCUGCUGGCUAGUGAUAAAUAACUGAAACCCAGGGGGACAGCAGAGCUUGGGUGACCAUACAUUCUAGGAAAGAAAACAUGCCUGUUGUCCUGGCUUUUUAUCCAGCUUAGACAAAGAUGGGCAAAGAAAAUAAUUUAGAAAAUGGUAGAGAUGGGCACAGAGAAAGGGCACGGAGGGAGGCACAAACAGAAGGCCAAGUGAUGGUGGAGGCAGACAUUGGAGAAAUGCCUUUACAAGCCGGGGAAUGCCAAGGAUGCUGGCAACCCUGGGAGUGGGAAGAACCUGGAACACACCCUCCGUCAGAGUCUCCAGAAGGAACUGGCCCUUCAUCACCUUUCGGACUUCUGGCCUCCAGAACUGGGCAAGAAAAUGUUUCUGCUGUUGGAGGCCAUCCAGCUGGUGGUCAUUUGUUAUGGUUGCCACAGAAAACGAAUAUAGAUUUAGACAUCUAAUUUGCAUAUAUAGAUAUGCAUGUGUAUUUGUUAAAUAAAAGAUAAAGCAUGACAACUCGA
rnacentral:lncRNA from 1 species